GUUCUUCGCCAUUUUGUCUCCUUUAAUCUUUUUUCAGUUAUACAGUAUUUUACUAGCUGAGAUUUCUUGCUGAAACUUCUGUUUGACCAGUAGAAGAUAAAGGAAACAUCUUCAUCUACUUGGCUUCACUUUACUCAGGUUAAUGCAUUUUCUCUUCCUUGUUCUUUAUUAAUGUUUUAUUGGUUGGAUUUUCUCGAAAUUUACUUGAUUCUUGGAAUGGAUGUUCUAGAUUUAAAUAAAACUUCCAAUUUUAGCUAGACAAUCUGACUAAUUUAAACACCCAUUCUUUUGCCCUUGCCUCCCCUAUCGUUAGCUCUAAUUUGUUGACACUUUUUGAGAGACUAAACAGUUAGCAAACCCAAGAUGUUAGCAAUUUUUACUGGAGCAAAACAUUAGCUCGAACUUUGGUACCUUUUCUCCACAGCCAAAUUGCUUCUCUCUGAAACCCAAGUUAUGGUUGUUAUUUUCCUUAUACAUAUAUAUUGAAUUACCCUCCAACAAUAACAUACAGAGAGGAAAGUGUACACAGACCUUAUGGAACUUUUAGUUUUUUAGUAGGAAAAAAAUUCUUUUUCUUGUCCUUGCCCCAAAAUAUAUAACCUAUCAAACAUUGAAUUUUGUUUUGAAUUAGGAUACUACUCCCUCCGUUCUAUAUUAGUAGAUCAUUUUCUUUUGUAUAAACAUAUUAAAAAAUAAUAAAUGAGAAGACAAUAUUACUAAUUUAUCCAUUAAAUUUUUUUUGGAAAUUUUACAAAAUAUUUUUAAAAGAAUUAAUUGCAAGGAUAAUAUAUGAAAAUUUUAAUUAAUUCUUUCUUGAUUUAGUAAGAUGGACAACUAUGAAUAAUUAUUUUUAGUAAUAUGAUCAAUUUAAUAUGGGAGACAACGUUCUCUAACCCCUCUCUAACUAGCAGCUCAUUUAUUGAGCAUUCAUUAAAAUUUUCUGACGCAAUUGUUUUCAAACACCAAAAUUAAUUUCAUAUUUUUUUCUUGAGAAUAGCUUCUGUUGCAUGUUUUUUGUGUUUUCCUUUAUAAUGUUUCAAAAAAAAAAAGCAAGUACCUUUUGUCUCUUUGUCUUAUUAACAUCCAAGAAAAAGUUGAAAGAUACUUUAUUUAAUAAUACUCUACCUUACUAAAUAGUACAUGUAGUAGUAGCGUUUUCCAACUUUUCAAUGGAUGAUAAUUUUUAGAGAAAAUGGCCAAAUGACCCCAUUCUAUUAGUGGAUUUUCAAUUAAACACUUAUAUUUUAGGAGUGUCCUAUUACCCCUUUAAACUAUUUUAUUGUAGAAUUAUUUGCUCCCUACUGCUGAGUUGGCAAAGAAAGUGUAAUUCACUUUCUCAAAGAGAGUGAGAUGCAAACUUUCUUAUUUUUCUUUUUCAUAUUAAUUUUUUGAUUAUUUAAAAAAAAAAAUAUGUAUACUACUUUUUACUUUUAUUUAUUUUUUCCAUUUUAUUUUCUUCCUCUUCUUUCUCUAUCUCUUCAACACUUUGUCUGAUUUAAGUUGCUGAUUUAAGUUGUCUGAAAAAAGUAUAAAAUCACCUCAUGGUUAAUAAUAGUUACUACUAACGAUAUCUCCUUUGAACAUAGAAAUCGACUUCACUUGAAAAAAUAGGAUACGAGAUCAAAUUAAAAAUCAACACUUUUGCAUAGCAAAGUGUUCAUAAGUUGAAGCACAAGAAUACAAAAUUGAACAAUAUAGAGGAAACCCAGUUGAGUAAAUAAAGUAACAAAGCAUCAAAGUCAAAAGUAGUAUCUUUUAGCUAAAUUUUUACUACUUCAAGUAUAACAACGCACAAAAUUAAAGAAACCCAGAUUCGAAUCAAAUCCGAAAGUUGAUUAGUGAUUACUAUACAAGUAUAUCAACAUCAAAUUCUUUAACAUGAACAACCCAAAAUAUUUUUUCCUUUUAAAUUGUUGUGAGCCAAAUCAAUAUGUUUACGAUUUUGAAAAUCCGUAAACUUUCAAGGAUUUCACCAAUCAAAUUCAUAUCUCAUUCAAAUAUACUUCAUUUUUUAGCUUCCCAAACUCCGACAAUAUUCUCAUCGGAGAACACUCAUUAAAUACCAACCUAGAUAUUCAAGAUUGGCUUGUAUAAGAAAAUUGAGAACUUCUCCGAAAAUAAUUCAAACAAAGAUUAAGAAACUAAUUUUUUUGAGGUUUUAGAAAUGGAACUUGGAAUUUCCACUUUAAUGGCGAAAAAUUUGUAGUCAAAGAAAAGGAAAAAGAAAAGAAGAAUGGGCUGAAAUAGAAAAGAAAACAAAUUUAAAAGGGAAAGAGAUUAAAAAAAGUAGAAUAAUAAUAUUUUAAUAAAAAAGUACAAUAUAUUUACGUGGCAUCGCGCGUUCAGCCCAUCACUUAUCACAAAUCUAGGUGUGACUUUUUAAGGGGCAAUAUUUUCCACUUUUAAAAUGUUUAGGAAGGUAAUAGGACCCCCGUAAAGUAUAAGUCUGUAGUCGAGAAUUGACUAAUAGAUGCUCAAAGAGAAGUCUAGUAAUUUGACUUUUUAAAAAAAAUCUUAUCAACAUUCAAGGUAAAAACAAAUAAAUAAGUAGGCACAAUGAUUAUACUUAUAUAAUUUGACACUGAAGAGAGCUUAAGAGAUAUAAUGAAACACGAUUUUCAACAGUAUUCCGUAUUCAUAUUUGUUGACUUUUAGUUAUGACAUCAUUUUUUUUUGACAUAAAUAGGGUCAACAUAGCAACAAUUGGUUUGUUAAUAACUUAUGUAAAUCAAUAGGCACUAUAUUUGUGACUAUAAUUCACGUAACUCAUUAACAAUAAUCAAUCAAUAUUCUUGACCUUGCUUUCGUCAAUUUUGUUUUAUUCAUCCAAUAUAUGAAUUCCUUUUCCCUUUAUUUCGCAAGUAAAAAAAAUAUUAUUUUAUCUACAACGAAGCUUUAUAUUAUUUGAGCCAAAAGUGUUGCAUUAUUUGAGCCAACGAUUUUACGUUGCUCAUGGAGAAGACUUUACACUGUCUAAGUCAAAGGCAUUGUAUUAUCCGAGUCAAAGACUUUACACCAUCUAAGACAGAAUUUACAUGGUUUAAGACAAAGUCAUCAUGCCGUCAAAGACAUUACAUGUUUUAAGCUGAUGGCAUCAUGUCGUCCAAGCCAAUGAUUUUACACCGUCCAAGGCAAAGACUUUACAUGAUUUAAAUUGAAGACAUCAUGUCGUCCGAGAAAAAGACUUAACACCAUCUAAGGAAAAGACUCUACAUGAUUUAAGUCGAAGGCAUCAUGUCAUCUAAGCCAAAAAAAUUACACCAUCUGACGCAAAGACUUUAUAUGAUUGACAAAGACUUUACGUCACCUAGACUAUGCAUAAUUCACGCUCAAAGAAAUAAUCAUUCAUUAGUUGGAUUCAUAAUCCUGAUUAUUGAAUUACUAACUUAUGUGUUAAUAAAACAUUUUUCUUUUUCUCUUUUGUUUGUGAAGUUUGAAUCAUGAUUUACUUAAAAGAUUUGACCUCCUCUUCUUCUAAGUCGUGUUUAAUAUUGGAUCAUACAUGAUAGUUAGGUGGAGACCAAAUUGCUUAUAGGUAUGCCAUUAGGUUGUCAAUAUAUUGCUACAUGGCCAUCUCCAGGGACCUUCCUAGGUUUGAUGAUUGGAUUGUAGAAUAUAACAAUCGUCCUCAUAAGACGUGGUUACUCUGCUCUCCCAAUCAUCGUACCAAAUAUAUUGCAAGUUCUUUACUAUGUUUAGGACAACGAAUCGAAAAUGGAAUGGCCCUUUCACUUUUGAUGGAGUGUUUCACUCCAUUCCAGGUUAUUGCGUGUGGGCUAAAGAUAUCCUUAGUAGGAGUCGCAAGGCUUUGAAGGAUGCAAAAAUAUAUGAUGUUGUGUAUGGUUCAAUUUUUACCUAUGAUUGUAACACUAACAUCCUGGCAGCCUUUUGUGAAUCUUGGUAUCCUGUUACAAACACAUUGCUCACCUCAAUCGGAGAACUAUCUGUAUAACUUUGGGACUUACAUGUGAUUGGUGGUCUACCCAUAACAAGAAGUCUUUAUGAGGAGGUUGUGUCAAACGUUGUGAAACUCGCAAGCAUAUUUGACAAGGGAAAAAGGUUUCUCCCCCAAUCUCGUGAGCAUUUAUUUGACACCUUUCAUGAGCUUUGAGAAGAAAAUAAUGAUAAUCCUAAUGUUUCUGUGGAAAAUGGGUAGAAUUUUGAUGUAAGAAAGAUACAAAGUACGGAAAACCUCGUCAAGAAAGGAAAAGAAGUCCGCUUGUUUCAAAUCAUCGCACAAUCCAACUAGGGUAAUUGAUGAGUCUAUUAAGUGGUCUCCUUCUAAAGAAUACAUGUUCUUUAAGUUAGAAGUUAAGAAUAAUAAGACCGACGAAACAUACUUGGUAGCCUUUUUGUCUUGCUAGUUGUGUAUAUUCGUGCUUCCUAUGAAGGAUGGCGGCUUUAUUCGUCUAGGUGUCUUCAAAAACGUCUUUUAUUUGGAAUGUGGUGAAAGAGUUAGCCUUUCAAUUCUAGUCUUUAGCUAGCAGUUACAAAGGUAUAAACACAAUUUUGAGAUGCUCGCAACUUGAUCUCGUCCAAACUUGUUUGUCAAUCCAUUAUGUGUAUGGUUGGUUGCCCUAUUACUUCAAAACUCAUUAUCCAUCAACAUGUGGACCAACUAAUCCCCUUAUGGCUACCUUUUCUGGUGAAGGAGCUGCAAGACAUUUUGGAAAAGAGGAUGCAAGAAAGUACAUACAUGAAGGAGGAACCAUUGCCUGGGAUGCAACGUUGAUCGAUACACCUCAGGCACUCUACUAUCCUGAUGACGACACUAAAAUAAAGUUUCAAUGAAACUUCUUUAUGAGUGUUCUGUCAAACUAUCUGACUUUAAGGGAUGUAAAUGCCUUUAUCAUUAAUCCCUAUAGUCCUCACAUAUUCGGCCAUCAAUUUUGCUUUUUCCAAGAUGAUCCUGGUCGUUUAGAUCAAGAUUUUUGUGAAGCUUUACCAGAAGAUGGAUUAAGGCUUGCAUGAAUUGCGUGUUGACUAAAUCCAGGGCAGGAGCGAUAUUUUCCCCUAAUGGAUCCAACAUAAAGAAUUUUUUUCGCUAAAUUAUAAAUCCGGGUGGGAAAAGGUGCAUGUGAACUUUCUUGAAAAGCAUAUGCAGUUUCUGGUGAAUGUUGUUAGUCCGCCCUUCAAAAUUAUGACGAAGAGGUCUUAAUUUUGAACCAAUCUCUUGUUCUAAUGUCUAAAGUUAUUGUUCCACACAAGAUUAAAGGGCCUCCCUAUCAAGAAGUCCGAGGAGAAAAGUUUUCAACUCAAACUCAUCAGACUUCUCACAAGCGACUAUCUCAAGAUGAGAGUAGUAAAAGCCAUGGUAGUCGUUGUUGGAAGAAAGUGAAACGACCUUCAGACACGCCAUAAGAUACUUUGCAUGCGGUGGAGAUUUCUGAUAACAAUGUAGUUCUUUAAGGACUUUGAUAGCUAUUAAAGAGGUAAUAAUUUAAACUUUUUUGUUGUCCCAUGGUGCCAAAUGACCUCAUUAAUUAUUAUUUGUCUUCUUUCUCAUUUUUUCCAGUCAAACAAUGUCAACAUGUUGGAAUUUUCUUAUCAAAAUAAGCCACAAGAUAGUACUGAAUCUGUAGAGGUGCCAAAUUCAAGGAAAUCAUUUUUGACUCUUAAAUCAUAAUAAGAGGCUACUUCUAUUUCUCAUGAAAGAACUACAACAAAUUUCAAAUUAAAUUCCCACAAAUAACAGGCAAAAUCCAUGUCUAUUUUCGAUGGAAGGAAGGUUGUCUCGACACUUCAGAAGGAUUUUGUCAAAGGAGCUUGGACUAAGAUCCGUUCUAAACUUGUUGACCAUAAUACAGCCCUUGCUUCCUUUCUCAAGGAUGAGGUUCAACUAAUUCUUAAAGAUGUAGAUUUCAUGGGUGUGGAUAUUUCCCCUUUGAAGAGUUUGUUGGAGUCUUUCUUUAAGAUGGACUUCUUCUAUGACCAAGCACGAUCGUCCCUUGCUGAUAAGGCCGUGGCACUUGAAAAAUCUUAGUCAUAUUUGAAAGACAAGAAACACUUUUAUCUUGUCUUGAAUGAAAAGAACGAGAAAUCCGAAGAAUAAACGAGAAAUUCGAAAAAUCUGAGUCAGACUCUUCGAACUUCUCAUUCUUUUCAUUGAAGACAAGAUCAAUGUGUUCCCUGGCUUUAGAAUAUGAGUCAUAUUUUUCAAGUUCCACGGACUUAUUAGCAAGGGAUGAUCGUGCUUGGUCAUAUGAAGAGUCAAAUUUAAGAAAAGAUUCCAAUAAAUUCUUCAUAGGGGAAAUAUCCAUACCCAUGACGUCUAAUAUUUAAGAAUUAGUUGAACCUCAUCCUUAAUAGAAGAAGCACAGUCUACAUUAAGGUCAACACGUUUAGAAUGGAUCUCAGUCUAAGCUCCCUUCCCUUGACAAAUUCAUUUUGAAGUUCCAAGACAACCUUCCUUCCAUCAAAUAUGGACAUGGAUGUUGCAGGUUGUUUGCGGAAAUUUAAUUCUACAUUUUCUGUAGUUCUUUCAUAAGAUACAGAAGUAGCCGCUUGCUCUUCUUUAGGCGUCAAAAAUUGAUUUACUUGAAUUAGGUCCCUCUAAAGAUUCAGUACUAUCUUGUGGCAUAUUUUGAUAAGAAACUUCAAACAGGUUGACAUUGUUUGGUUGUGAAAAAGGAAGGAGAAUAAUAAAAAUAAUAAUUAGUGAAGUCAUUUGGUAUCAUGGGAUGACAAAAAAAUUUAAAUUAUUACAUGUUUAAUAGUUGUCAAAGUCCUUGAAGAACUAACAUUGUUAUGAGAAAUCUCCACUAUAUGCAAAUUAGUAUAUUUUGGUGUGUCUGAAGAUGGUUUCACUUUCUUGUAACAACGAUCAACAUGGCUGCUACUACUCUCAUCUUGAGAUGGUCGCUUGUGAGAAAUCUUAUGAGUUUGAGGUGAGCACUUUCCUUUUUGAAGUUGUUCAUAGGAAGGUCCUUUGAUCUUGUCUAGAAUAAAAACUUUAGAAUUUAAAAUAGGAGAUUGGUUCACAAUUAAGACCUCUUGGUCAUGUUUUUGAAGGGCUUCAAUAGUCGGUCAAACAACAUUCACCACGAACUACAUAUGAUUUUCAAGAAAUUUUCCAUGCAAUUUUUUCGACUAGGACUUAUAGUUGGGCAAUGGAUAUUUCUUCCUGUUGGAUCCAUUAGAAGGAAAUGUUGCUCUUGCCCUGGAUUUAGUCAACACACAAAUUUGGGCAAGCUUUAAUCUAUCUUCCAAUGAAGAUUCACAAAAAUCUUGAUGUAAUCGACCAGGAGCAUCUUGGAAAAAGCCAAAAUGAUGGCUGAAUCUGUGAGGACUAUAAGGCUCAAUGAUAAAGACAUUUUCGUCCCUUAAAUUAAGAUAGUUUGAGCACACACUCAUAAAGAAAUUUGAUUAAAACUCAUUUUUAUUGUCGCGUCGCGAUAGUGGUGUGCAUGAGGCCUAUCGAUCAAUGUUGCAUCUCAAUCAAUAGUUCGGCCUCCAUGUAUACUCUUCCUUGCAUCCUCUUUUCAAAAUACCUAGCACCUUCUUCACCAGAAAAGGUAGCCAUAAGGGUAUUAGCUGGUCCAUCUGCUAAUUGAUCAUGAGUCCUGAAGUAGUAGGGCAACCAACCAUACACAUAAUGGAUUGGAAAAUAAGUUCGGAUGAGAUCAAGUUGCGACCAUCUUGAAAUUGUGUUUAGGCCUUUCUAAAUGUUGGCUAAGACUGGGAUUGCAAGGCUUACUCUUCACAUGCAUUCCAAAUGACAUGUGUUUCUGAAAACACUCAGACGAAUAAAACCGCCCUCCUUCAUAGGUAGCAUGAAUAUAUAUAACCAACAAGACAAAAAAACUACCAAGUAUGUUUUGUCUGUCAUGUGAAUCUUAAAUUCUAACUUAUGGAACAAGGCUUCUUCAGAAGGAGAUCAUUUGACAGACUCAUCAAUUACCCAGUUGGAUUAUGUGAUGAUUUGAGACGGGCGAACUUCUUUUCUUUUCUUGGCAGGGGUUGUUCGUACUUCGUAUCUUUCUUCCACCAAAAUUCUAUCCAUUUUUCUACAGAAAUAUUCAGGUUAUCAUUAGUUUCUACUCAUAGCUGAUGAUAUGCAUCAAAUAGAUGCUCACAAGAUUGGGGGAGAAGCCUUUUUCCCUUGUCAAAUGUGCUCACAAGUUCUACAACAUUUGGCACAACCUCAUGGUAAAGACUUCCUUUUUAUGAGUAGACCACUAAUCACGAGCAAGUUCCAAAGUGAUAUAGAUAGUUCUCCGACUGAGAUGAUCAUUACAUUUGUAAUAGAACACCAAGCUCCGCAGAAGGCCUGCAAAAUGUAAGUCUUACGAUCAUAUGUAAAAAGUGAACCAUACACAACAUCAUAUGUUUUUGCGUCUUUCAAAGCCAGGCGACUCCUACUGAGGACAUCUUCAGCCCACUCCAAAUAACCUAGAAAGUGGUGACACUCUCGGUAAAAUGUGAAUGUAUUAUUCCAUCAAGUCUCUCUAUUUAUGAUUCGUCGUCCCAAACAUGGUAAAGAACUUGCAAUAUUUUUGGUAUGAUGAUUGGAAGAGAAAAGUACCCCAUGUCUUGGAAAGACGACUGUUGUAUUCAAAAGUCCAAUCAUCUAAACCAGGAUGGUCCCCUAAAGAUGGUCAGCAUACUGAGCACCUAAUGUCGUACCUACAUGCAAUUUGCUCUCCACCUCACUAUCCAUAUUAUCCGAUAUUACAAGAUAUCAUGACUUGAAAGAAAAGGACGUCAAUUCUCUGAAGUAAACCAUGAUUCAAACUGCACAAACAAAAAUUAAAAAGAAGGGAAAAGUGUUUUAUAAGCAUCAACUUAGUAAUUCGAUAAUCAGGGUUAUGAAUCCAAAUAAUGAAUGAUUGCUUCUUUGAGCGCGAAUUAUUCAUAGUCUAGGUGAUGUAAAGUCUUUGUCGAUCAUGUAAAGUUGUGAUGCCUUCGGCUUAAAUCGGACUAUUUGCUUUAGACAUCAUAAAGUAUUUGGCUCGAACAACAUGAUGCCUUCAACUUAAAUCAUGUUAAGUCUAUUCCUUAGACGGUGUAAAGUCUUUGGCUUGGACGACAUGAUGCCAUCAACUUUAAAUAUGUAGAGUCUUUGCCUUAGGAAGUGUUGAGUCUUUGGCUUGGAUGGCGUGAUGUCUUUGGCUAAAAAAUGUAAAGUCUUUGUCUUAGACGGUGUAAAGUCUUGGACUAGGACAAUACUUCAGACAGUGUCAAGUCUUCGCCAUGAGUAAUGCAAAAUUGUUGACUCAGACAAUGCAACAUCUUGUUGAAAAUUUAUAUCUAUUAAUAAAGAUGGUCAAAAACAUUUAUUACAAAUUAUUGACCUAUAUUACUUUAGUCUAAUUAAUAUUAUAUUAGUAUAUAUUUUUUAAUAGUGUGGCCAACGGUUUGUUUUUGUUAAUAUGAUUGACAAUGGUUAAUUUCCUUUAUGGCAUUGAUCAAAUACUCUUGAUUUGAUAGUUAUUUGCACAGAUUUAAAGGAAUAUAUGGUAGUUAUUAUAUAGCCUUUAUGGCAUUUAUGCACCUAUAUAUUUAUAUAUAGUAUGUUUGUGUGUUAAAAAAGGAAGGGUGGGAAAAAGAUAACAAGGAAAACUUUUCUUACUUAGUUUAUUUGUUCGGUUUUGUUAAGUUAAAUAUCUUUUUAUUAGUUUCAGGCUCCUAGUUUUAAUACUAGAGGAGAUUGUUGAAUCCGGAAAGAUACACCUUAAUCGGUGAAAUAUCUUUAAGGACAAUGUCAUAGGCACACCUCAAACUACAAAAAAAUUUCCAACAAUCUUAAGGAUAUUUAUUUUAUGAGUAUGGAACACAGAAGCAAUUAUGAAAUUUUCCAUCUACUAUCAAAGGGUUCUCUACACGAUAUUCAUGAUUAGAGAAGAGCACCUAAAAGAAGCAAAGUUAUGGACGAACAAGAAAAAUCAGAGGAGACAUCACAAACCCACUUCAUUUUAGUGUAUGGAAUUAGGUUGGAGUUGGCAACUUGG
rnacentral:lncRNA from 1 species